ensembl:miRNA predicted gene, 27471
GUAAGUUCAGGGCUGGGAGCAGAGGUUGGGCCUGUGCGAGGUCUCAUGCCACCCACCCUGUGCUCAG